UACGUAGGGGGCAAGCGUUGUCCGGAUUUAUUGGGCGUAAAGAGCGUGUAGGCGGCCAGAUAGGUCCGUUGUGAAAACUCGAGGCUCAACCUCGAGACGCCGAUGGAAACCAUUUGGCUAGAGUCCGGAAGAGGAGAGUGGAAUUCCUGGUGUAGCGGUGAAAUGCGCAGAUAUCAGGAAGAACACCCAUGGCUAAGGCGGCUCUCUAGUACGGUACUGACGCUGAGACGCGAAAGCGUGGGGAGCGAACAGG
rnacentral:rRNA from 1 species